UACGUAGGGCGCAAGCGUUGUCCGGAAUUAUUGGGCGUAAAGAGCUCGUAGGCGGCCUGUUGCGUCCGCUGUGAAAUCCCGGGGCUCAACCCCGGGCCUGCAGUGGGUACGGGCAGACUAGAGUGCGGUAGGGGAGAUUGGAAUUCCUGGUGUAGCGGUGGAAUGCGCAGAUAUCAGGAGGAACACCGAUGGCGAAGGCAGGUCUCUGGGCCAUUACUGACGCUGAGAAGCGAAAGCAUGGGGGAGCGAACAGG
rnacentral:rRNA from 1 species